rnacentral:rRNA from 1 species
AUUGAACGCUGGCGGCAUGCCUUACACAUGCAAGUCGAACGGUAACAGGUCUUCGGAUGCUGACGAGUGGCGAACGGGUGAGUAAUACAUCGGAACGUGCCUAGUAGUGGGGGAUAACUACUCGAAAGAGUGGCUAAUACCGCAUGAGAUCUACGGAUGAAAGCAGGGGAUCGCAAGACCUUGUGCUACUAGAGCGGCCGAUGGCAGAUUAGGUAGUUGGUGGGAUAAAAGCUUACCAAGCCGACGAUCUGUAGCUGGUCUGAGAGGACGAUCAGCCACACUUGGACUGAGACACGGCCCAGACUCCUACGGGAGGCAGCAGUGGGGAAUUUUGGACAAUGGGCGAAAGCCUGAUCCAGCAAUGCAGCGUGCAGGAUGAAGGCCUUCGGGUUGUAAACUGCUUUUGUACGGAACGAAAAGCCCUGGGUUAAUACCCUGGGGUCAUGACGGUACCGUAAGAAUAAGCACCGGCUAACUACGUGCCAGCCGCCGCAGUAACAC